rnacentral:rRNA from 1 species
CGCGUAGGUGGUUCGAUCAGUCGGAGGUGAAAGCCCUCGGCUCAACCGAGGAUCCGCGUCCGAUACUGUCGAACUUGAGUGCAGGAGAGGAGAGCGGAAUUCCCAGUGUAGCGGUGAAAUGCGUAGAUAUUGGGAGGAACACCGGUGGCGAAGGCGGCUCUCUGGACUGCCACUGACACUGAGGCGCGAAAGCUAGGGGAGCAAACGGGAUUAGAUACCCCGGUAGUCCUAGCCGUAAACGAUGGGCACUAGGUGUGGGAGGUAUCGACCCCUUCCGUGCCGCAGCUAACGCACUAAGUGCCCCGGCCUGGGGAGUACGGCCGCAAGGUUGAA